GAUGAAGAACGUAUUGAAAUGCGAUACGUAAUGUGAAUUGCAGAAUUCAGUGAAUCAUCGAAUCUUUGAACGCACAUUGCGCCUGCCAGCACUCUGGCAGGCAUGCCUGUUCGAGCGUCAUUUCAACCAUCAAGCCCUAGGCUUGCGUUGGAGCCCUGCGGCUGCCGCAGGCCCCUAAAAGCAGUGGCGGGCUCGCUAUCACACCGAGUGCAGUAGAUUACUCUUCGCUCAGGGCGUGUGGCGGGUUCCAGCCGUGAAACCCCCUACUUCUCAAGGUUGACCUCGGAUCAGGUAGGAAUACCCGCUGAACUUAAGCAUAUCAAUAAGCGGAGGA
rnacentral:misc_RNA from 1 species